AUUGAACGCUAGCGGGAUGCUUUACACAUGCAAGUCGAACGAGUGGAGGACGGGUGAGUGAUAUAUCGGAACGUGCCCAGUAGCGGGGGAUAACUACUCGAAAGAGUGGCUAAUACCGCAGAAUAUUGGCUCGGCCGAUAUCGGAUUAGCUAGUGGGGGGGGUAAAGGCUCACCAAGGCAACGAUCCGUAGCUGGUUUGAGAGGACGACCAGCCACACUGGGACUGAGCCACCGCCCAGACUCUUACGGGAGGCAGCAGUGGGGAAUUUUGGACAAUGGGUGAAACCCUGAUCCAGCCAUCCCGCGUGUAUGAGAAUGCCUUCGGGUUGUAAAGUACUUUUGGCAGAGAAGCGGUAUCUGCAGAAUAAGCACCGGCUAACUACGUGCCAGCAGCCGCGGUAUUC
rnacentral:rRNA from 1 species